ACCAAAACCAAGCCCAAUCAACUCACCAAACCUAUUACACCAAUAAAACAAACCAUUUGACUAAAAAAGUAUUUGAGAAAGAACCUUGAAACCGGCGCAACCCCACCGCAAGGGACAACUGAAAGAAAAAUGAAACACUUAAGUAUAACAAAGCAAAGAUUAACCCUUGUUCCUCUCGCAUCAUGAUUUAGCAAGCAGCCCCAGACAAAGAGACCUGCAGCCCGACUACCCGAAACUACGUGAGUACUUCCGGGCAAUACCCRAUC
rnacentral:rRNA from 1 species